rnacentral:tRNA from 1 species
GGUGGACAAGCUCAUCUGGAUGAGCACUCGCUUGAUAAGCGAGAGGCAGAUAGGUUCGAAUCCUACGUUCACCACCA